AAACCAUUCACACCAAAAAAAAGAAAUACAAAAGGGAUAAAUAUGAUUAUGACAAUAAUCAAGUCACCACAUAUGCCACAAAAAAGCGACACAUAGAUACACCAAUACAUGAAAAAUCUAGGUAUCAAUAUAACAGAGGUCAUUCACAGUAUCAACCAAUCAAGAAUUAUUCAGAUGCCGUUAGACAGGGAAACCAAUACAAUAGAAACAGGACCAACUCAUGGCAAAGACAAGAAACAUCACCA